AGGGGGGCGGGGCAGGGCAGGGCGGAGCCUAGGAGGACGGUCACCUGGGCUCGGCCUGAAGACCCCGAGGCUGGGGAGGAGCUCUGCAGGAGGAUGGCUGAACCCAGAGCGGAGCCGCGGAGGCUGCGUCACCACCUGCCCCGCAGCCCUCCCGCCACCCCGUGCCCUGCGCCCCGCGGAGGGUUAAAGAUGCCCGGGGGCUUGCCUGAGUUUGAUCCAGAGCAGCACAGAAACAAAGCACCCACUAAUCCCAGCACAGGCAGAGGCCAGAGGUUCAGAAGUUCACGGACAUGGAUAUCCACACGGCUUGAAGAGAGCCCAAGGCAUUGGCCCACAUCUAUCCCCAAGCUUUUGAAAUAUUCCUCCCAGCAUCAAAACGCAGUGUGGUAGGACCAAGACCUUGGAAUGGAGGAGCUGGUUCCAGAAUGGGUCUGUGUUUGGAUGUCAGAGCAGAAUAACUUCUCUGUGGGCUUGACUGCCUUUUGGUGGUGCUAGAGAUCAAACCCAGAGCCUCCAAGACCCACUCUCCCGUCCGCUCGCCAAGCUGCCACCUCAUCUGUCGAGAGGCUGAUUUCGACUAGCUGUUCAGUGCUGUCUUACAGAACCCUUGUGUGUGACUUUCAGUCAGUUCCCUCCUUCCAGCACAUGGGCCCCAGGGAUCCGACUCAAGUCAAGCUUGGCAGCAAAUGUCUUGACCAGUUGAGCAACCUCGCCAUCCCCGUCAAAUGAUCUUCAAAUGAGGGUAGCAACUAAAACAAUGAUUUAAUGAUUUUUUUUAUAUAUAUCCUGGGCACUGCUGAGCCAUCCAUACAUGGGUAUAAUUUAGUACUCAUGACACAGCUAGCUAGGCUGUGUACACAGAGAGAAAAUACCUGUAUGGACAUUACACAAUGCCCAGCUCAUUCAGGAAGCAGGAUCGAGAGCUUGAGGCCCUCUAAGGUUAUAUAGCAAGACCUUGCCUCAAAGCAAACACGCAUGGGGGGCUGAUGAGAAGGAUGGACAGUAGAAGUACUUACUACUAAUCCUGAGGACCCACCCACGUGGGGGGAAGUGGGAACUGAGCCCCGAAAGCUGUCCUCUGACCUCCUCGAUACACACACCACGGCAAGCACAUGCAUGCACACACACACACACGUUUUCAAACAAAAUGUAACAACAUACUUUCAAUACAAUACUCAUAAUUCUCAGCCUCAGAAUUUAGCCCAGUCGCUAGAGUGCUUGUCUAGCAUGCACAGUCCCUGGGUCCGUCUCCAGCACCCCAGAAAAUUGGGCACAGUAGAAAACGUAAUCUCGGCAGUUGAUAGGCAAGAGGAUCAGAAGCUCGGAAUCACCUUCAGCUACACAAAGAGUUAGAGGCCAGCCUGGGCUUCAUGAAACCCGGUCCCAAGAAUAUAGGAGAAAAACAAAACAAAACCCAAACCUGUUCUCUCCGCUCUGUUCACUUUCGUCCCUCAGUCCUCAGAGUCUCCCCGACUCUGAACCCCUUCCAGGCACCGUCCAUUUCCUGAAGAAAAGCUGAACAUGUUUCCUGUCUGUACAGGUCUUAUUUCCCUCAACUUCAAAAACCAAACUCGGGCUGGUGAGAUGGCUCAGUGGGUAAGAGCA